GCGCCCUUAGCUCAGUCGGAUAGAGCAACGGCCUUCUAAGCCGUGGGUCGCAGGUUCGAAUCCUGCAGGGCGCA
rfam:Edwardsiella ictaluri 93-146, complete genome.